AGAGUUUUGUAUUUCAUCAAGAAGGUGCUGAUUCACAAAGAUUUUAAAUUUAAGAAAAUCUGAGCAUCAUUCCAAAUAACUGUUAACAUGUUUGUCAACUAAACAUGUUUUGUAAACGUAAUAAACUUUAUAAAAAUAUUUUUUAUUUUGUAUUAAUAAUCAAGUAUAAAGAACAAUGCAUAGUGUGAAAAUGCGGAUUAUAAAAAAGUAUAUUAAAGAAAAGGACUACAUUUCCCAGAAUGCACCUGCACCCACUCAUCUGACUGCCCCCACCCUUCAGGUGCGACUGCUCAACCUAUGGGCUUGACGGAAAAUUCAAAUCGCGAACCGUUACUGCCUGGACUACUCCGUCUCUUGUUUGUUUGUUUGCUCAUUAACAGUAAGAGGUCAUGUACACUGUGGUCAACUUUGUGGACGAUGAAGAGGUUUCUGGGUAAAGAUGAUAGAAAUAUAAUGAAGUAACAGUGAAACCUAAAACAUCAGACUAAUCCAGACACUGAAGAAAUUGAUGUCACUGCAAUCUGGCCAAAAUGAUACAACUAUAUUGAAGUAGCCUACUGUAAUGAAGCUGCAGAACAACACACAGACUCUUGAGGACAUCAACACAGAAAAUGAAGGCUCCAAAGAGAUGUCUGUCCAGAUGAGGGUGCAUCAAUGUUACGUUUGCUGACAAGUAUAUGCUUUACAAUGUAAAACCUAACAGUUAACUUAACUCAAACCAUUUAAGGAAAUCGGUUGCCUUAACCCAUUAAGUUUUAAAAAACAUACAUUUGAGUAC